CUGCAUGUUCACCAAACAACCACUUGUCACUAAUUGAACAACUCUUUACCAAUGCACCACAAACGGGCAUUCUUGACCUUUGUUUGGUUGCUGAGAAAAUGUAUCCAUCACCCGGAAAUCAAUGAAAAUUUUUGAAAGAUUAAAUCGUGAGAAUCAUUGGCGCUUCUUGUGCUUGAAACCAAAAAAAAAAUGAAGGUAGCUUGGUUUCAUAAUCAUUUCGUUGGGUUUUUUGUUCCCCUUUUUCUCAGCAACCAAACAGAGAGGUUUAAGUAAGAAAGAACAGAAAACAGGUUCUAGGAAAUAUUUAGACUUUUAACAACAAAAACAUUUCUUGGAAAACGCUUUACCAGAGAAAUGGUUUGAACUCUCCGGCAUCUUCAAACCAAAAUCAAAACAAAAACUCCAAAAUCUCAAAAACGAAAAGAAUAACCAACUGAA
rnacentral:lncRNA from 1 species